rnacentral:misc_RNA from 1 species
CUGUGAGAACCCCUCCGAACUAUGGCGAAGGGCAAGAACAAGUCACCGUCAAAAAAGUCUUCCAGCUCGACGGAGAGCAAGAGUUCGAGCAAGGGCGAAAGCAGAAGUACUAGCAAGGGCGAGAGCAAAAGUACCAGCAAGGGUGAGAGCAAAAGUACUAGCAAGGGUGAAAACAAGAGUCCCAAGAAGGGCUCCGCCAGCAAGGCAUCUAGUCAUGCCCCGCGCAAGGCAGUCAGUAAAGCUGCACCCAUCAGGUCGUCACCCAGCAAGGCACAUAGCAAAGCAUCCAGCAAGUCUCCCAUCAAGGCUUCCAGCAAGUCUCCCAGCAAGGCUUCCAGCAAGGCUUCCAGCAAGGCUUCCAGCAAGGCUUCCAGCAAGACGUCCAGCAAGACGUCCAGCAAGACGCCCAGCAAGGCACCAAGCAAGGCACCCAGCAAGGUUGCUAGCAAGGCUUCCAGCAAGGCACUCAGAAAGUCACCCAGCAAGUCACCCAGCAAGUCACCCCGUAAGGCACACGGAAAGGCGGCCAGUCAAGCGGCCAGCAAGUCCCCGAGCAAAGCGUCUAGUAAGGCCGCCAGCGCUGUUCCGAGCAAGAGUGCUUCCGAGAAGUCGCCUUCCAAGGCUCCGAGUAAGGCUGGCAGUAAGACUGGCAGUAAGACUGGCAGCAAGACCGUCAGCAAGGCGAUGACCAAGGCACAGAGCAAGAUCGCGCACAAGAGUCCAAUGAAAGAAGGGGGCCGCAAGUCUUCUGGCAAGCCGGGCAGCAAGGUCACCAAGGCUCCCUCCAGGAUGGCCUCAAGGAUGGCCUCAAUGGCGCCGUCCGCAGCAGGUAGUCGCGACAGGGGGGCCAAGCAGCCGCUCAAACACUUCUUCGCCAGCAAGUCAACCUUCUCGAAGGCGUCCAGCGCAUCUAAGUCAUCAGGCAAGUCGAAGAAAAGCGGUUCAGACGAGGGCUCCCAAGAACAAGCCCCCAAGGCAGUUUCCAAGGCGGCCGGGAAGGCCAAGCCGGACUCGAAGACGACUUCGAAGCAGGCUCCUAAGACUGCAGCGAAAAAAACCUCGCCGGUCUCGGAGUCGCGCUCCCACGAGUCGGGCAGCGGCGAGGAAGGAGAGGAAGAGGAGUCGUCUCCCGAGAAGCCACAGCAAAAGAAAAAGGCGAAGAAGGACGAAGACGACGGUGAGGAGAGCAGUGAGGAAGAGAAGGCGUCGAAGAAGAAGAGGAAAGGUUCCGGCGAUGAGAAGGAAGAAGACGAAGAGGGCAAGAAGGGCGAAGAGGAAGAGGAGAGAGGAAGAGGAAGAGGAUGAGGGCAUAUACAUGAGCACGACGGAGUUCGAGGCCUACAUAGCUCGGUGAGCACGAAACAGGCCGGGACUGCAUACGGGACAUCGGCAAGUGCAUACUGAUCAUACUGAUGACGGCCUGCGUCGCCUACCUCUUUCACGUGUGGCGACAGCACGACAAGAAGAAAUAUGGCACCGGCAUCGUCACCCAGCGUCGCACUCCGGCCUACACCGAAGAAGAAGAGAACGUGACUGUCGUUGUCGACGGCGUAGAACGUUUCGCCAUAGACGACCACAACGCGGUGCCCACGGAAUUCGGCGAGGCCAUUGGAGACUUUUAGAUAGAUUACCGCUCACCGGGAUCGUAUUCCAUUUAUUGAGAGAGCUCGUGUGGUUACACACGUUAACCAAUUAUUUUAAUUCGUUUCGUAUCGCGUUUGUGAUUACAUGUUGCUCAUGAUUUCGCUGACCUUCGUUUUCCUAAGGCAUUCUCUCAACUUUUAAUAGAAGUGC